CACGUAGGGUGCAAGCGUUGUCCGGAAUUAUUGGGCGUAAAGAGCUCGUAGGCGGCCUGUCGCGUCGACUGUGAAAACCUAGGGCUCAACCCUGGCCUGCAGUCGAUACGGGCAGGCUUGAGUGUGGUAGGGGAGACUGGAACACCGUGGUGUAGCGGUGAAAUGCGCAGAUAUCAGGUAGAACACCGGUGGCGAAGGCGGGUCUCUGGCCGAAAUUGACGCUGAGGAGCGAAGCGUGGGAGCAACAGGA
rnacentral:rRNA from 1 species